AAAGUACUCCCUCCGUCUCAAAAUUCUUAUCUUAGAUUUGUCUAGAUACGAAUGUAUCUAAUACUAAAAUGUGACUUGAUACAUCCGUAUCUAGACAAAUAUAAGACAAGAAUUUUGGGACGAAGGGAGUAACAC
rnacentral:pre_miRNA from 1 species